rnacentral:misc_RNA from 1 species
AUAAAGAGCGGUCAUGAACUUUGUCUUAUUGUUCACGCGCACACCAUCUACAGACGGCGCCACCAUCGGGCACUUGACAGCUGCAGUGACUCAGGGUCCGUCAGUGCCAGGCACACUGGGAGUGUACACGUGGCAGCUAGAGGAGAACACUUUGACCCACCUAACCUGGAAGCACGACUUUCUGUUUGAUCCUGCAGUGUAGUUUCAGAAAAGGUCUUACCUCCAUCAGCCCCAAGCUUUGAAGUUCUCAUAUGGGAUGCUUGUAUUGUGCCUCCCUUUAUCGAAAAAUAUUUCUCCCGUCACAUUUUUCAAGUGGAACCACCGGAUCAACCAGCUAGGACACAGAUCAGCGACUGGUUGCCUACAACACGCCCCGAGUAGUCUCACCAUUGCAGUCACCACUUUCACCUGAGGAAAGACAAGAGGCCGCGAGUUCUUACUCCACAAGACCAACAUGACAACAACACAUCAGUUAAUGGCCGCCGCCUUCUACCUGUGCAAUCUUUUGUUUCUCUACCACGUCGACCCCGUCAACAGCUUAAUAUGCAAGAAUUGUGAACAAACUGAUCCCAACUGCAACUCCGGAGAAGUGGCAGAUGCCGAGUGUGAGCCCUCGAUGCCUUACUGCAUAACUAUUAAAGGUACUUUUUCAGAUGGACGUAUCAUAGUCCAUCGUUCCUGCAGCAACGAGUCAUUUCGUACGUGUAAAACAAUGUUGUUCUCAGUACUGACGUUGUGCCCUAUGACCUGCCAAACGGACCGCUGUAACAACAAAGAAAACGAUCCAUGAGAAAAUGAGUUAAGCUGACAUUCCUGCCAUUGAAGGCUUUAGAAAAGUUUUUGUCGGUUUCUCUUAAAUACAUGGCGACAUCUGACAUGAAACUGUGUAAAUUUUGUCCAGAAAACUGAAGAAAAACAGUUGUAAAUCUCA